GUGGAGAUGGAUGGAUGAAGAUGGACGGAUGAAGAUGGAUGGAUGGAGAUUUAUAGGUGAAGAUGGAUGGAUGAAGAUGGAUGGAUGGAUGGAUGGAGAUGGAUGAGUGGAGAUGGAUGGAUGGAGAUGGAUGAAGAUGGACGGAUGAAGAUGGAUGGAUGGAGAUUUGUAGGUGAAGAUGGACGGAUGAAGAUGGAUGGACGGAUGGAUGGAGAUGGAUGAGUGGAGAUGGAUGGAUGGAUGGAAGUUUCCUGCAAUCUACACGCACAGAUGCCUUUUACCCGGCUCUAAACGAGACGUGUGGAGUCUGAAAGCCGUGAUAUUUUUCUUUACGCUCGGGCUUUAUGGAGGAAAUUGAUCCGAAGCCGUGGCGUUGUCCGUCCACAUUUUCAAACGUUUUAACGAGCGUCUCCGUCGGCCUCCCUCGUCCUGCCCGUCACGCGCUCUGCCUGGGUGUUUAAGAAAGAGCUGUAUAUUUUGGCCAUACAGCUCCAACACCAGAAACAGAUUCGCGAUUGUUUUUAAUUCUCCAUGGCUGAUCACGACUUCCGACGCCUGUCGUGUGUUUUUCUCCCCCACGCUUCUGGAUUUUAAUCACAGGGUAAUUCUUCUCUCUCUCGAGAUGCUGACUCGAAAUAAAACAUGCUCCGUCGUGCAUCGAAUAAGAAUUAAGUCACGUUUAGUGUUGGGGAUUGGCUGCGAUGGGAACCCUUCGGCUACACGACAGAUGAUUAAAUCAUCACGCCGAGCUAAUAUGGAUUCCACAUCAUGGAGAGUUGUUGUUGUCGAGAGCUGGUAGUUAAGUCUAUUGAGGCAGCUGGAGGGAAGAGAACAGUUCAGACUCCACGCUGAUGAUGAUACGCUUCCUGGUGUCUCUUCUGUCAAAAAGCCCAUCGCGUAAUGCUAACGGUCAUGCUAACGGUCAUGCUAACGGUCAUGCUAACGGUCAUGCCGAUUACCACAUUCUGUCCAUCACACCGACGUUCACGAGCGUUUUUUUUUUAAUAAAGGGCAACCACGUCAUCCUUUUCUUAUGCAUUUAUAUACACAGCCAGCUCGUUACCAGUGUGUACAUAACACCUGCUGCAUAUGUCUGGCCACGCCCCGUUAAAGCCACAGGCGAUACUGUCGUCAAUCUGCGACGUUUACGUGGCACAAUAGGAAAGUGGCAUUUUACACACACACACACACACACACACACACGCAUCUCACAACGCUACUAGAGUCUCCUUCCAUAAAUCUUGAAUAAACAUCUCCUUAUUUGAAGAAAACUUCACCGUACAAGGUGCCUCGCUUGACUUUGGAGGUUUUUUAAAUAAUCCACCCGUCUGCUUCUCUCUCUCUCUCUCUCUCUCUCUCCACUUCUUCUCUGUAUGUUUUCUGCUCUCCACCUCCACUCAUCCUCUUCCUCGUCCUGGUUCUCUCCCAGCAGCAUGGCGCCUCUGUCCCGGCCGUCUGUUCUCCCAUCUGUGUGUUCGGUUUGGUUCACUGGCCUGAGAACGGCACUCACACCUCACACGAGGAGAACCGACAGGACGGGAAAAUAAAACACACGCGCAAAUCCGAGCGUAGAAAUUCAGUAUUUAUUUAACAGUAAUCAUUUUUUUCUUCAAACGUUCGAGACAGAUCUUUCUGAACGGAGGAGCUCAUGACGAGAGUAGGGAAAGAGAAUGGAGGAAGUUCUCUGGGUGUGUCGCUGUGUGUGUCACGCCGCGGUUGGGAUUAAUCUCAGCGCCGCAUUGCGAACUCGUGCUCCAACUUGGAAUUUCUGACCUCCGACUAGGGGGGGAAAAAAGCAAAGAAAACACCUCGUCGAUUUGGAAUUCCUACUCAGUUCAGCACUUGACUUCAUGUCAACAUGGCCGCUCAGACCGUCAACAUAACCUAAACAUCACUUAGCUACUUUAACUGCGCUUAUAACAGUGUUUACUUCGGAUCAAAUGACCAUAGUCUCAUUCCUCGGUGAAAUCAGUAACAGUGUUUUGUGAAAGCAAAUACAUCAUAAACUCACGCUCAUUAACGUUAGCUAGCUUUGUUGGUAACACACUUUCGUAGGGGUGUCAUUUUUUUUUCACACUUUCAAACUAAGUUUAAUAACCGAUGAAAACCGAUAGUGAAUGAAAACGUAACACUCAAAGCUUGACGGCUGGACCGUGAAAAUGUCCUGUACUUUUUCAAUGAAAUAAAUAUAAAUUAAUAUAUAUAAACUAUUAAUAAGUAUUUAAAUAAAUAAAAGAUACACAUCCAAACUGAACCAAAAAGUAACACUUUACAAAUUUUAAUUUGUACAAACACUUUAAAUAACGAAUAAAACCGAGACGUCCAAAAUGAAUCAAAAAAACACUUCAAAUAACGCACAAAAUGAGUCAGCAAUGGGUUUUAUUUCGCCUCUAGAGGCCGCUCUCGUACCGUAUGAUGGUGGUGUGGAUUUUUUUUCCCAUAACCGAUACUUCCAGCGAUCAGUUCUGGGUGCUGAUUAAUCAGGAAAACCGAUCAAUCGACCGACCUCUACUGUCUAAUUAAUACUGACACGAUCCCGAGUUCAGACGUCCCGCUUCAGAGUUCAGACGUGUACACAGAUGUAUACGCAGACGUGUAGAUGUGUACACAGACGUAUACACAGACGUGUAGAUGUACGUGUAGACAUGUACACAGACGUAUACACAGAUGUGUAGAUGUGUACACAGACGUGUAGACAUGUACACAGACGUAUACAUAGACGUGUAGACGUGUACACAGACAUGUACACAGACGUGUAGACGUGUACACAGACGUAUACACAGACGUGUAGACGUAUACACAGACGUAUACACAGAUGUGUAGACGUGUGCACAGACAUGUAGACAUGUACACAGACGUAUACACAGACGUGUAGACGUGUACACAGACAUGUACACAGACGUGUAGACGUGUACACAGACGUUAUACAUAGACGUGUAGACUUGUACACAGACGUGUACACAGACAUGUAGACGUAUACACAGACGUAUACACAGAUGUGUAGAAGUGUACACAAACGUGUAGAUGUGUACACAGACGUAUACACAGACGUGUAGAUGUACGUGUAGACGUGUACACAGACGUAUACACAGACGUGUAGAUGUGUACACAGACGUGUAGACGUGUACACAGACGUCUACAGUACACAGACGUGUAGACGUGUACACAGACGUAUACACAGACGUGUAGAUGUGUACACAGACGUGUAGAUGUGUACACAGACGUGUAGACGUGUACACAGACGUUUAAUAUUGAUACACAACUGCUGGACAUGUAAAAGUCGCGUUCAGUUGUGUUAGCGUUUUUUUUUUUAUUGCUUGUGGUUAGCUGUUUUAAAUCUGUUCCACUCUCUCUCUCUGAGAAACACUUCCCCCUUUUCCUUUUUUAAUCUGAUAAUUCCUUAUUUUAGACAGCAGAGAGCCUGUGCUGGAGCUCACCAGCUCAGAAUUGGGAACACGUGUCUCACUCUCUCUCUCUGUCUCACUCUCUUUCAUGCUCUCUCUCUCUCUCUCUCUCUCUCUCUCUGACGGUCUCUCUUAUUCACUCUCUCUCACGCUCUCUCUCUCUUUCUGUCUCUCUUUCUCUCUCUCUCUCUCUCUCUCUCUCU
ensembl:lncRNA